GCGCGGUUGCCAUGACAGCGGCUGGGCCGCUGGAGCUGAGCGACCCCUGCACCUUCUGCAGGCUCUCAGGGAAAUCCCACCUCAACCGCAGGGCGGACCUGCUCUUCCCGUGGUGCACAUUCCAGAUCUCUUCGGAUCCCCGGUGAGCUCCUUCAUGUGGGCUGGUGGGCUUCGGCGUGCUCGUGACUGUCCUCGAAGGUCCCGACAGC
rnacentral:lncRNA from 1 species